AUACGGAGGAUGCAAGCGUUAUCCGGAUUUAUUGGGUUUAAAGGGUGCGUAGGCUGUUCGGAAAGUCAGGGGUGAAAGCCCGGCGCCUAACGCCGGAACUGCCUUUGAUACUUCCGAGCUGGAAUACGGAUGCCGUGGGAGGAAUGAGUAGUGUAGCGGUGAAAUGCAUAGAUAUUACUCAGAACACCGAUUGCGAAGGCAUCUCACGAAUCCGUCAUUGGCGCUGAGGCACGAAAGCGUGGGGAUCAAACAGGAUUAGAUACCCUGGUAGUCCACGCAGUAAACGAUGAUGACUAACCGUCGGCGAUACACAGUCGGUGGCCAAGCGAAAGCGAUAAGUCAUCCACCUGGGGAGUACGUUCGCAAGAAUGAAACUCAAAGGAAUUGACGGGG
rnacentral:rRNA from 1 species